rnacentral:rRNA from 1 species
UACGUAGGUGACAAGCGUUGUCCGGAUUUACUGGGCGUAAAGAGCGCGCAGGCGGUCGUUCAAGUCGAGUGUGAAAGCCCCCGGCUCAACUGGGGAGGGUCAUUCGAUACUGAUCGACUCGAAGGCAGGAGAGGGAAGUGGAAUUCCCGGUGUAGUGGUGAAAUGCGUAGAUAUCUGGAGGAACACCGGUGGCGAAGGCGGCAUCCUGGACCGGUAUUGACGCUGAGGCGCGAAAGCUAGGGGAGCAAACGGG